rnacentral:ncRNA from 1 species
AAGAGCUUGAAGUAGACUUUGUUUAUAAUAAGGGUUUAAAGUGGCCAAAUCGUCUCAAAUAAGGUCUUGAAGUGGUUGGAUGUCUCCUAAAGAGUAACGGAGGUGUAUGAAGGUAGGCUUAAGCUAAGAUUCUACUUGUGAGUGUAAUGGUACAAGCUUGCCUGACUGUGAGACCGACUGGUCGAAUAGAGAUGAAAGUCAGCCAUAAUGAUCUAUGAGUCCCGUGUGGAAGGGCUCUCACUCAACAGAUCAAAGGUACACUAGGGAUAACUAGUUGAUGACUCCCAAGAGCUGUUAUCGACAAAGUCGUUUGGCAUCUCAAUGUUGACUCAUCAUCCUAGAGGUGAAAAAGGUUCCCAAGGUUUCGGUUGUUCACUGAUCAUAGUGGAAGAAAAUAAACUUCCAUUUCCCCUAGUAAGAGUC